CGCACAUUGCGCCCCUCGGUAUUCCGUGGGGCAUGCCUGUUCGAGCGUCAUUUCAACCCUCAAGCACAGCUUGGUGUUGGGUGCUUGUCCCGCCUCCGCGCGGCGACUCACCUUAAAAUCAGUGGCAGCCCGCAUCCGCCGGCCGUGAGCGCAGCACAGUCGCGCCCUAGGCACUGGUAGGUCGGCUCUCCAGAAGCAUACCUUCUAUUUUGACCUCGGAUCAGGUAGGGAUACCCGCUGAACUUAA
rnacentral:misc_RNA from 1 species